UACGUAGGGUGCGAGCGUUGUCCGGAAUUAUUGGGCGUAAAGAGCUCGUAGGCGGUCUGUCGCGUCGAUCGUGAAAACUUGGGGCUUAACCCUGGACCUGCAUUCGAUACGGGCGGACUAGAGUUCGGUAGGGGAGACUGGAAUUCCUGGUGUAGCGGUGAAAUGCGCAGAUAUCAGGAGGAACACCGGUGGCGAAGGCGGGUCUCUGGGCCGAUACUGACGCUGAGGAGCGAAAGCGUGGGGAGCGAACAGG
rnacentral:rRNA from 1 species